AAGCUCGUAGUUGAAUUUCGGGGUUAGUAGGUUGGUCAUGCCUCUGGUAUGUACUGGUCUCACUGAUUCCUCCUUCCUUAUGAACCGUAAUGCCAUUAAUUUGGUGUUGCGGGGAAAUUUGGACUGUUACUUUGAAAAAAUUAGAGUGUUUAAAGCAAGCUAACGCUUGAAUACAUUAGCAUGGAAUAAUGAAAUAGGACGUUCGAUCUUAUUUUGUUUGGUUUCUAGGAUUGACGUAAUGAUUAAUAGGGAUAGUUGGG
rnacentral:rRNA from 1 species